rnacentral:lncRNA from 1 species
AACGUUAGGGCACUGAUUACAAAUCCACCGAAACAUGUUUGCAAAGAGGGAAUGGCGGAAGAAAGGCAUUGCAUGGAGCAAUUCUAAAACACUUUACGGACAUAUAUUUGAUGUCCGCGAAAGAUCUGAUGACGAUCUGCAAUUAUUGUUGAGCAAAUACAUGUGGUCACGUAACCCAGUUGACCUCUAUGAACAACAACAAACUGCUAAGACGUUCACUCGAUCGUUGUGUUUAAUUCUUGCAAAAUCGAUUUCCUUAUCUAUGCAUGAUUUUUUUCCUCGUUCCAUUCUAAUGAACGAGAAGAGAGUCUGGGAUGAUUUAUGUCGUAUUCUUUUGGAAGUGGGCAUUCUUUAACCGUACAUUUGGUCGCGGCGAUUGAGACUUCAUUUCUAGACUUCUUGCUAAAUUUUGUGGAAGUGAAGAAAUUUUCUUCACAUUGUCACGGCCUAAAGUUUAAGCUCAUUUACGUUGUUUUAUACUACUGAAAUCUCGAAAUUCAAUGAUACUAGCGUUCCUCCUUCGAGUGAGACCAUGUCUGUCUUCGAACUUUCAAGAGUGAUUGAGUUAACGAUCGGCCUAAGACUUCCUCAAAAACACUAAUUAUAUGCCGCUAGAGUUUCAGCUACUACCUUGCGGCUACCGUUGAAUGAUAGCGGCUUCAAAUUAUGUUCAUCCUUGCCCAUGACCAUGAGGCAUGAGUCUUUAAAAUAUCGCACUCGCGGUCUUUAAUGGAAUAUUGCUGGCAACGCGCAUUAAUCAAAUGGCUGAGAUUAAAACACUCGAAUCCAAUAGCUGAGGAGAAACAGACAAAGUUGUCAUGUACAAAAUGCACGGGAUUGCAAAAAUGCCCUCGCUACGCUUUUUCUUGACUUCCAAACAGCAGAUUUUAUAUCCUUUUUUCAAAACCAAAGCGCCGAUAUCACUUGUUAGAAUUAUUCUCUCGACAUGAAAUUUCGUGAAUUACAUUUCAUAGGUUUGGCUCAUAGCCCAAAAAGGCACCAAUUCUAAUGCAUUGCAUUCAAUUGAAUUUACCCCAGCAUAUAUCUUUUCUUUCUUUUCACAACAUUUGGAAAUAUAUAGGAGAAUGUUGGAAAUUUCAAUGAUUUUGAAAUUGUCAAAGUCAUUGUUUUUUUUUUUGGUAAGGGUAAGAGAUAUAUUAGCUAAUGCAAAACGCUAUACAACUGUACAGCAAGGGGGGCCCGUCACCAGCUUGCACUCAGAGAGAAAGUCGCAAUGAGUAGAGGGGUGCCAGGGGGGGGAAAGAAAAAAGCUGCGAAAAGGAUACAGAGCAAGGGGAUCACAAGCAGCGGAGAGGCAACAAGGAGGCCAGCAAUGUCAAAGUCAUUGUUCCGUAACAGCUGUAAUAAAAAUUAUGACUGCCAUCAAUUUGUAAAGGAGUUGUAAUGGUUUUCAAUUUAAUGCAUGAAUUGAUAAUGUGAAAAUGACUCUUUCAUUUACCUACAAAUUAUUAUUCCGAACAUAAGCUAAAGAAGACGUGCAAAAACAACAAAAUCUUUACUCACCUAUUUUUUCUUUCCUUUUCCUUGCUAGUUUAGCAUACAAAAUUGUUGUUCAUGUUUCUUCUAUUAUUUAGUGUAAAAGAGAAAAAGUUUGUUAUAUCUUGUCGCGACCUAAAUUUCAGGUGCACCACCUACGGUUUAGGUUAAUGGAUUGUUAAGCCUAGACUUAACUCGGGCUCUCCCAAGCCCAUACCAAUUCGCGACUUAGGUUCAAGUUCUUAACAUGCAAUUGAUUUUCAAUUAGGAGUCGCCACUAAUCUAUUUUUGGUGGGUAGAUUAGAAACCCAAGUAAAGUAAUGGGAGAAUUACUUCACUCCUACGAACCAGAGAUUGUGGGUUCGGGGACUUGGUUACACUAGAUUUCUCUAAUGCCCUUUCGGUACCAUUCUUUUUUGAAUUGAUUUUAAUUUAUCUUCCUAACAUGUGAGGUGAUCAUGCGGGUGCACAAUCCACCAAUUUAACAGCCAAGAAAGCGAUGAAUAAAUUGCAGGAUUUACCUCAUAGCAACGAAAGCAUCUGCAUUGUUAGAUCAAAAUUCACAUCAACAGACCUUGAUAUGAUUUUUAAUUAACAGGCAAUUUCUUCUUUUUUUGGUUUUCACUUAUUUAAUAAAAAUCAUGCAAUAUGCAAUGCAUGCUACUAAUCUAACAUGGAAUAAUAUGACAUGAUAAUAUGGCCUAAUGCGAUGUUUUUGUGUUUUCUUAAUAAGCAUGCAAUAUAUCCUAGAGAAUAAAAUUAAUUCUAAGACAAUUCUUUUUGGUAUUUUUCAUGAAAUUCGAAAUGAAAAUUGUCCAAUAAUUAAAGGUGCAAUCUGAAUUAACCAAAUGGCCUAAUUUUAAUGACGAGCAAUUUCUAAUUAAAUGAACCUAGCGAUAAUUACUAAAUGACGUACAUUUCAUGAUCCUAAUUCUACAUGACAUGCGCAUGAUUUUUUUUAAUGAAAAUUCGUAAUUACAAUCACUAAAAAUAAAAAUCUAACUAAGGCGAGACAUCAUCUAUUUCAAGUUAGGAUUAGACUAAUCUAAAUCCUAUCUUAACUUAGAAAAUUAUCUCAUCAUGCCAUUUUAUUCCAAAAGAUAUUAUCUAACCUAGAUAUCAUCUAAACAUGCAUUUAAAAAAAAACUAAAUUUUUUAUCAUGCAAUUUUAUCUAGGAAAAUCAAUUCUUAUCUACAUGAUAUGAUAUGUAAAUGCAAUUUUUUUGUAUUUUUGAGAUAAACAAAACAAUUAAAAGAUGCCAAAUCCUCCAUGGUUGUUUCGCUAAUAAAAUUAAN